rnacentral:rRNA from 1 species
AGACUUGCGAAGUGGGAUAUUAUUUGCAGACCUAAAGACCAGGGUGGCUUAGGUAUUGAGAAUUUGGAAAUCAAAAAUAUAUGUCUCCUUAGCAAGUGGCUUUUUAAGUUAUCAUCUGAGACGGAGGCCACUUGGGCACAACUUUUACGCAAUAAGUAUCUCUAUGCUAAAACCUUGGCCCAAGUGUCGGUGAGACCUUCAGAUUCGCCUUUCUGGAAGGGGCUAAUGAGAGUUAAACAAUUAUUUUUCAACAAGACUAAAUUCAUUGUUGGGAAUGGUACCACGACGAGGUUUUGG